GARCUGAAGAGUUUGAUCAUGGCUCAGAUUGAACGCUGGCGGCAGGCCUAACACAUGCAAGUCGAGCGGAUGAAGGGAGCUUGCUCCUGGAUUCAGCGGCGGACGGGUGAGUAAUGCCUAGGAAUCUGCCUGGUAGUGGGGGAUAACGUCCGGAAACGGGCGCUAAUACCGCAUACGUCCUGAGGGAGAAAGUGGGGGAUCUUCGGACCUCACGCUAUCAGAUGAGCCUAGGUCGGA
rnacentral:rRNA from 1 species